AUAUGACACUGAGAGACACGAGGCUGACGGAAGAGAAGAGGGAUGGUUCUGAGCGUACGCCCCUGCGGUGGAGCUCUCAGCUGGCGGCGCCGCGGGGCUCGGGGACUGCAGCUAGCCCUCCGCUGCCGCGGGGCCACCCGAAGCUUUGGGACGCGGUGCGAUAGGAAAGGAGAGAUAAACAGCUGAACUUCGUUUCCGGGGGCUUCAUGGUCAAGGGUGCCCGUGGGAACGCAGAGGGCAAAGAUUCCGAAAGGAGAGAACUACUGCACCGUCUCCCCCUUUCACUCUCCGAGGUGUAGACAGAAACACCAAUGUCUCAUUUGCUAGAUAAAACGAAUCUUUUAAACCCAAAGAUACCAUGACAUCUGAAGCAUACACGUAUGAAGGAAAGGUUCAAAACUUCCAUUUUAAACCACUUAGAAGGAGAGGAUUUACCACGAUUCUGUCUAAUGUUCAGCUGACGCAUUGUCAAAAACAUUUAUCACACAAGCUUUUGAAGUUUCUUAGCUCCCCCCGAGUUAUUAAAACUUGAACUGCAGAGUUUAUCAACCUCAAAGCCCACACACAUUAGGCAUUUUAAGUCAACCUUUCAGUUUGAUUUCAAGACUAUUAUAUAAAAUAAAACACUCUCAAUCAGGUUAAUGUCUGACACGCUGUAUGAUAACGUUGAACAGGCAUAACUGUUACGCCCGAUGGAUCCGUAAGACAAUUUUCAUUUCCUAAUUUGCUUUUUAUUAAACACUUCACAAGCAACGGAAACCGCAAGGAGUCUGCCAUCCUCAUAGUAGUUUUUUUGUGAAGACCUUCAAGAUUUUAGACAACUUCUUGAAUUUUUGAUGCUAUGCUGUAAGAACGUCUACAAUGUUGGAUAUGCUGUGCUCGUAAAAAACUACUUUUGGGAAUACAAAUUAACUAGCAAAACAUCUGUUUUGCUACCUGCUGUAUGCUUGCUAACAGUUCUGAAAAAACAAACACAAGGGGCUCCAUCAGGAUUUCCUGCAACGCUUUCGAGGGCAUCUGACUCACGAUAAAGCAUAUUUAUCAAUCACUUGCUGAACAAGGCAGUCUUCUCACUGCCAGAGGCUUCAUUCCAAAAUAAGUUUAUCACCAAACUGCCACUUUAAGUGGGUGUGCUGAAACUUUACACCUGGAGACGGCAAUCGGCAGCUUCAGUAGACCCGCACUGCUCUACAAAUGUCGUCUUAAAGCACAUUCCUUGUCACAGACGCAUGAAGACUCGGUAAUAUAAACAUUUCUAAUAGGCUUUAUGAAACAUCUUAUUUUGCUAUGCUCCUUUUAAAAGUAAAUAUUAAAGGCUCAGAUAUUUUCAGUCAAUAGGCUAAUACAAUUCCCAGUACAAAUAAAAGAAAAGGAUGUAUUUUGUGCAAUGCACAAAAACCAAACCAGCAGACUCCACGCUAUUGCUUGAAGAAAUGCUUGGAUUCUCCCUACUGCAGUAGAAGUAGUCCCUACCGGAUAAAAUAAUACAUAUUUUCUUACACGCUCGCAAAGAAAGAUAUCUAAUAAUGUCUUUAUACCUUUUCAAAGAAACCUUAAUCAAUAAUAUGAACUCACAAGGCAAACCACUGCUUUUCGAACUGAACAAGAGCUAGCUUGACUCAACAGCGCCCACACAUUCGAUGCACGCGAGACGUGAGAGGCAGCAAAGUAGUAUCUUUUAAAAGUAUGUCUGCAAGCCAAAAAUGGGAUGAUUCUUGACAGUGAAGGAUGCACACUUGGAAACUUAGAAAUUCUUUUAUUCGAAGUCUUUAACGACCUCCACCCCAAUCACAUUAGCAACAAGCCAUGAUAAUGCAAUUGCUCCUAUUUAAAUAAAUGUGUGAAAAUGA